GAUUGAGGCGAGCGCUCGAGCUUUUUUUUAUUUCCUUUAGAUUUAAGAUGGCGUUCGUUGAAACGGCGGUUGUCAUCUGAAACAUGGCUGAAAGAAGACUUGGAGAGUCUUGUGACCAAUCAGACGAGCAAACCUGGCAACAGAAGUGUAAACUGGCGUGUAGCUGGAAGAAAGGGCUUGGUGUAGCCAGUUGUACUGAUGGUUCUACUGCAUCAGUUGAAGCUGUUAGACUUGAGGAAUUACUGUACAGAAUCUUAUGUCUCGUACGGCUGGUAAAUACCUGAUUUUAACCACUGUAUUAUUUCAAAGGUUUCACAGCACUAACAUUCUUGUUUUUCAGAGUCCUUUCUUAUUCUAUACAGGCUUGAGCAAAAUAAGUGAUUCAAUUUUCUUUUAAACAAGUUGUGUAUGUUUAAGUUCAAAAGGACAGAAAACUAUGUCCAUAUAAAGAAAAACCUGUAGUGGAUUUUUGAACUCCUUGUAGCAUGAUUUGCAUGACCUUGUUCCAUGUACAAAAUUGAUCCACUCUUGAAGUACAAAGCAUCUGCUGGACCAGAAUUAUUUCAUGUCACAGUAAAAUAAAUUAAACAGGUAACUAGGGUACUGUGAAGAAUUUGCUCCCAGUUGAAGUACACAUUUACAUUUUAUGGAUAUAUAGCAGUGCAUCAUGGGAAAGAACGAUAUGCAUUUAUGAUGAGGUACUUGGCAACUUGGAAAAUGGUGGUGGGCAUUGGAGAAAUACUCAGUUCAAGGAAUAUUUUGGAGAUUGUGAAUAAUGGCACCAUGCAAGUAUGAUUAACCUGUUGAAUGGAACAGAAACAUCAUGGAAGUCAACAUGACUGACAACUAAAAUGGAAUUAGAGUUGAAACAGCAACAAUUCAAAUUGCCUUUGAAUGGCUUCUUGUGUUUAGGUUAAACUGCUAUUUCUUUGAGUAAGGCAGCUCUCAUUUGAGCCAAAAUGUGUUAAUUAUUUCCCAUAUAUGGAUUCAAAGAGCCCGAGUUUAACACUUAAGUUUGAAUCAUGAUGAAUUACUUGCUGGAAAUUAUCUGAGAUGGCUACCUUGAUCAUGUGAAAAGGCUGAGAAAGCAACCCCAUCAAAUGAGUGUUUAAUUUAAAAAAAAAUUACUGAACAAUGAAAAUAAAUCCUAUCAGAUUUUGAAUUCAGUAUGUCAUGGAAAAGUAUAACCAGUUAACUUGCUGUAUCGCAGAAAACAUCACCUUGCCACCUCUGUGGAAGACUCUCUUCCCUUUUUGAAACUGUUUAAACUUCUGUCUCUCAUUUUCAUUUUAAUGAAAUGUAAAUGGAAUUAGAGUUUCAAAAAUCAAAAAACUGGAAAAGGCACAAUAGGUCAGGCAGCAUCUGUGGAGCAGGAGAGUUGAUAUUUUGGGCAUUAGCCCUUCAGGAAUGUGGAGGGGUAAAUGGGCUGAGAGAUGAAUAGGGUGGAUGGGGUUGGGGAUGGGACAAAGGAAGGUAGGAUGGUGAUAGGUGGAUUCAGGUAGGAGGCGAUUGUGAUAAAUCGGUGAGGAGGGUGGAGCGGAUAGGUGGGAAGCAAGAUGGACAGGUCAAGUUGGAGAGUUGGAUCUGGGAUGAGGUGGGAGAUUUGGAAACUGAUGAAGUCAAUGUUGUUACCUUGUGGUUGUCAGGUCCUGAGGCGGAAGACUGUAGGUGGUGAAAAUGGCAGAGGAUAGUGUGGUGUACUUGGAGAUUUGUCAAGUGGAAUGUGAGAAAUAGUUGUGUUCUAUCCUUGACGCGGUUGGGAGGUGGGGUUUGAGGAUGGAGGUGUGGGAAGUGGAGGAGAUAGGAGAGGAAAUUGCAGUCCUUGAAAUAGGAGGACUUCUGGAAUUUCUUGGCUUGGAAUUGCUUCUCCUAGGAGCAGAUAUGGGGAUGUGGAGAAAUUGGGAGUAAGGGAUCACAUUUUUACAGGAGAUGGUGUGGAAGGGGGAGUAGUCAAGGUAGCUGUGGGAGUUGGUGGGUUUGAAAUUGACAUCUGUGUUGAGUCAGUUGCCUUAGACCGAGAUGGAGAGAUCCAAGAAGGGCAGCGUCAUGACUGAGCUAGUCCAUGUGAACUUGGAAUCAGGGUGGAAGUUGUUGAAGUUCAUGAACUGUCCAGCCUCCUCGUGGGAGCAUAAAGUGGCACUGAUACAUUCAUCAAUGUAGGGGAGGAAAAGAUGGGGGCAGGUAUGGGUGUCUCUAUGGAAGAGGGAUAUUCUACAUAUCCUCCAAAGAGGCAGGCAUAGCUGGGGCUUCCUUCACCAUCAAAUUAAUGCCACCUGCUGACUGGAGGCAUAACACCUCAUAUCCUGCCUCGGGACCCUACAACCACACAGCAUCAACACUGACUUCAACAGUUUCCAAAUCUCCCCACACCCCUUUCUUCCCCCCCCAACCUCGUCCCAGAUCCUACCCUCCAACUCAGCAUCACCCUCUUGACCUGACCUAUCUGCCCAUCUUCCUUCCUGCCUAUCUGCUCCACCCCCACCAACCUAUCACAAUCACCUCCUACCUGUAUCCAGCUAUCGCAGUCCCACUCCCACCACCCUAUUUAUCUCUCGGACACCUUUCCCCCCUGCAUUCCUGAAGAAGGGCAAAUGCUUGAAAUCUUGACGUAACUGCUCCUCGGAUGCUGCUUGACUUACUCUGCAUUUUCCAGUGCCACACUUCUUGACUCUGACUCUAGAAUAUGCAGUCCUCGCUUCAAAAGCUCACCAACUUUAUGCAGGCUUAAGAGAGGAUAGAGGAGCAUUGAAAAAUAAACCAAUGUUGUACUUUUGGAGGAGAACACUAAAAAUAUGUGAAGCUGAACACAGUCUGCAUCAUCAGUAUUGGUAAAAUUUGACUAUUGAGCUGCACCUGGAAUUAAACACAUCAAAUCUCAUUGAAUUAUCAGUAAUUUCGAGACACAGCAGAAAUUUGCUUACAUGAAGCUUGGCUGGUAAACUGAAAAUUAUGUUUUUGUUUGCUAUCAGAGUCCUUCUCACUGAUUUUUGAACAGACGGCAGAGUGUUUUUGCAUGCAGUCAUCAAUCCCCUAUCUUCAAUUAUAAUUAAAUGAAGAUGAAUUUCUAAAUGGACGAAUUUUGGAUUUUUCAAAUUGAAGCAAUUAUACUUAUUGUGCUGAGUUGUAACACACUUUUUUUUUCAAAUAUCCGGAAGCAUUGGGAGCCUGAGUUCGCUGCUGCUUUCUCCAUUGCAAUGCCUUGACCAGCCACUGAGGAACUCUGUCUUGGAGUGUAAAUUUCUUGUGACUGUUUGUUUGAAAUUUGACGUUUUUUGUAUUUACCCUGAACAGUGCAAGAUGAAUAGCUUCAGCAGCAUGUCUCUCUUCAGCAAUACUUGACUUUUAUACUACCAAACUAUGCUGCAGUUUAAAUUCAAAUAAAAUCUAAUGAUUGAUCAUUUUGGUGAAAAUAUGUUUUAUAUUCUAUUUGAUUCAAAUUUGAAUCUCAAUGCCCAAAACCCAUAGUGAUUUGAACUUACCUUGGUAAACUUAAAUGAACAACCCUACAGAAUGCUAACAUGCUGCAGAAGCUGAAUGAGUCCUUGCAGUAUUUCUGUUUGUAAGGAUAGAAUAUAAAUACAUAUGCUGAAAUUGUGCUGUUAGAAUAUAAUUGUCAGAAAAACCCCUGAUACUAGCAUGCUUGUUAACAAAUGUUCAAUUUGUAAUGUGAAUUGUGCAGAUUGAAUGUUUAAUGCAUAGGUAUCGCAUGUAAGGUCAUUUAAUUCAUGCAAUCAAAUUCAUUUUCCUUUGUUUUAAUUUUGUUAAUAAAUUUUAUUUACAAAAA